CCAUUACGACUGUGAUUGCACUUGGUACUACAGCAGUAGCAUUGUCUUAUCUUCCAGUAGGCAGAGGAUUGUCCUCUGCAGAAGACCAUCUGGUUCCCGAACAUGAAGAUACAGCUAAGUAAUUCUCCCCAUAGUUUCUAACAGUGAAUCCUUGUUACUAAUAUACUUUAGGAGAAAAAAAUAAGUUAUACAUGCCACGAUGUGGUUAACUCAUCGCUUUGAUCAGUUACAAUUUUCUGGCAUCUGGAGUAUGUCCAUAAUCUAGUCUAGAUAUAUAAAAGAAUGUAUCUUUCACUGGAAACCAUUGUAGGUUAUUGUAGUGUUUUGAACCAUAUGAUAGAGCGAUAUUUCAUAGUAUCCUACGCGUUCGAGCCAGCUGUGUCACUUUGGCUGUAUGAUACAUCUGGCACAGUGUAUUAUAGCAUAUUGUUUAUGCCAUUUUUGAGCAUUUUUGUUUGAUCUACUUAAUGAGGUGAAUCUAUUGGGAGGUGAUGAAUAUCGAAUUUCGCCUUUUGUUUUUGUGUUGUGUCUAGUUCCCUUGGUGAACUAGCAGGUCAGUAGAAUACAAACUAUUAUAGCAAAAAAAUCGCUGACACUACUUGUAUAACUUGAUGCACUUGAGCAUUGUCGACUUUUUUUUAGGUAAGCAUUGUCAAUUGUUAUAGAAUACUAAAAUCAUCUUUAGUAGAGAUGAUAACACUGUGACGAAUAAAAAUACUAGAAGAGAUACAUUUGGGAAUAAUAACAAUAAUUGUAGUUGGUUUAUUUGAAGACGGUAGAAAGUUUCCUAGGUUUGAACGGAUCAGCAUUUGGCAAGGGCCAAUGCCCCAAGUAAGAAGACUAUGGGUUGAUGUAAGAUGAUAAUUAAAAAAUGAGAUAUUCUUUUGGGAUUUGGAUCCUC
rnacentral:lncRNA from 1 species